GUGGGGAAUAUUGCGCAAUGGGGGAAACCCUGACCCAGCAACGCCGCGUGAAGGAAGACGGUUUUCGGAUUGUAAACUUCUUUUAUCGGGGACGAAAAAAAUGACGGUACCCGAAGAAAAAGCCACGGCUAACUACGUGCCAGCAGCCGCGGUAAUACGUAGGUGGCAAGCGUUGUCCGGAUUUACUGGGCGUAAAGGGCGUGUAGGCGGGACUGCAAGUCAGAUGUGAAAUACCAAGGAGUAACCUUGGGGCUGCAUUUGAAACUGUAGUUCUUGAGUGAUGGAGAGGCAGGCGGAAUUCCUAGUGUAGCGGUGAAAUGCGUAGAUAUUAGGAGGAACACCAGUGGCGAAGGCGGCCUGCUGGACAUUAACUGACGCUGAGGCGCGAAAGCGUGGGGAGCAAACAGGAUUAGAUACCCGGGUAGUCC
rnacentral:rRNA from 1 species